CUACGGGUCGCUGCAGUGAGGAAUAUUGCACAAUGGGGGGAACCCUGAUGCAGCAACGCCGCGUGGAGGAUGACGCAUUUCGGUGUGUAAACUCCUUUUAUAUGUCAAGAAAAUGACGGUAGCAUAUGAAUAAGCACCGGCUAACUCCGUGCCAGCAGCCGCGGUAAUACGGAGGGUGCAAGCGUUACGCGGAAUCACUGGGCGUAAAGGACGCGUAGGCGGGUUGGAAAGUCAGGUGUGAAAUCCUACAGCUUAACUGUAGAACUGCACUUGAAACUUCUAAUCUAGAGUAUGGGAGGGGGAGAUGGAAUUAGUGGUGUAGGGGUAAAAUCCGUAGAUAUCACUAGGAAUACCUGAAGCGAAGGCGAUCUCCUGGAACAUUACUGACGCUAAGGCGUGAAAGCGUGGGGAGCAAACAGGAUUAGAUACCCCCGUAGUC
rnacentral:rRNA from 1 species